GGUCUCCGCCUCUCCCGAGGCUCGCGCCCUCGGGGUAAGUCCCUCGUGCCUCGUGGAGAGGGAGGAAGAGGGCGCGCUAAAUGAAGGCAGGCGGCGGUCAGGGCUGGAAGGGAGAGCGAGAAGCAGGCCCGACAGAGUGAGGAGCGCAGUUCCCAGGCUGGAAUCUGCAGAAGGCACCGCCUCCACCCCUCACUCCCUUCGGGGGUGCGGCAGUACCCCGGGGACCAGAGCGACGGACGUGUUCCGGUGGUCGAAGCUGCACGGGCUACGGGUGGACUACGUUUCCCAGAAGGCGGCGCGGCAGUGUGCCUACGACUCCCGGCAGCACCUACGCGUCAGGCUUUUUUUCCUGUUCGCCGCCUAGGGCCAAACUACAGUUCCCAGGAGACCUCGCGCGAAGCGCCUUGGAAGUGGGCAGCCUGGAAGUCACUUGGGCCACCGAGGUUGGAGGCGUCUGUAGCGAGCGGCGAGAGGCUGGACACUGCGGUCGUGGGUCCCGCGGGGCGGGCAGUCCAGGCGUCCAGAUGCAGUCUUUGAUGCCGGCUCUCCUGAGACCCUCCGACCUCUAGAGUCCUGGGUGUGCGAAGGAUUUUGGGAACUUGGCAUCUGCAAGGAGGCUGCCUGAGGGACCAGACGAGGAGCACCUGGCUGGGACUGGUCGUGGGUGCACGGCGGGAGGACCCCUGCAGCCCGCCAGUCCUGGACAUCACCAGCGCUUCGCCCUGCCAUGCGGAGCGGCCCUCCGUCCACGGCCCCCAGGACAGCGCCCGCCUCCUGAGGCGGUCCUGGCCCAGCGGUGCACAGCGAUGGUGGAGAGCUGGCCUCCACAGGCGCACGACCUUCCCGUCCGGUUUCGGGGGCCAUCCUCCUUCGUCCAGGGGCCGGCGGCCCUGAACAAUGGCUGAGGGCUGGGGGGCCCCAUAGAGUCGCCUCACAGCUCCCGGCGGCCCGCUGCAGCCCCAGCGCGCGCGCCCGUGGACUAUGACCACCUA